CUCUAGGGUUCUUCUGUUGCCAUGCCAGCAGGGAGAGAGCAGGCAUGCCAGGAGAGCAGAAAUCGCCCUGGUGGAUGAAACACCCAGGUGAAAGGAUAGGAGGUUUUAAGAGUACUAGGAGCACUGUGGCUCCAGGAGAGGAGACCCACUGCUCACUGGCUGUCAGCGGCCUAUUCUCGGGAACAUUUGACUGACGCUUAGAGAAAUUAAACACGAAGGUGGACUUUUGCUAUGCUUCUGUCUUCCUGCACCACCAGCAUGGAAACAGCCUUUGAUGGGCCGGGGAACCCCGUUGCGAAUGGGGGCCCUGACCCCCAAGCCUCCUCGGGGAGCCACAGCCGCAGACUUGUGACUAUCCUCCAGGGGUCACAAUUGGGUUACAAAUCCCUUGCAGCGCACUGACUGAGCAGCCUGAUUGGGAACAAUUUAUUCGAAUCCUUCUUCAUUAAGAUUCAAAUGGAAUAAGUAAGGUAGAAAUUGAACAGACACAGAAAUUGUGCCUUCCUGCUCCCGUAGUCAGUAAACAUUUAUUCGCUAA